AAACUAACAAGGAUUCCCCUAGUAACGGCGAGUGAAGCGGGAAGAGCUCAAAUUUGAAAUCUGGUAGCCUUCGGUUGCCCGAGUUGUAAUCUAGAGAAGUGUUUUCCGCGUUGGCCCAUGUACAAGUCCCUUGGAACAGGGCGUCAUAGAGGGUGAGAAUCCCGUCCUUGACAUGGACCCCCAAUGCUUUGUGAUACACUUUCAACGAGUCGAGUUGUUUGGGAAUGCAGCUCAAAAUGGGUGGUGAAUUCCAUCUAAAGCUAAAUAUUGGCGAGAGACCGAUAGCGAACAAGUACCGUGAGGGAAAGAUGAAAAGCACUUUGGAAAGAGAGUUAAACAGUACGUGAAAUUGUUGAAAGGGAAACGAUUGAAGUCAGUCAUGCUCUUUGGAUUAAGCCGUUCUGCGGUGUAUUUCAUUGAGCGGGGUCAACAUCAGUUUUGAUCGCUGGAAAAGGGCAGGAGGAAGGUAGCACUCUCGGGUGAACUUAUAGCCUCUUGUCGUAUACAGUGAUUGGGACUGAGGAACGCAGCAUGCCUUUUGGCCGGGAUUCGUCCACGUACAUGCUUAGGAUGUUGACAUAAUG
rnacentral:rRNA from 1 species